GGGUUCAUAGCUCAGUUGGUAGAGCAGCGGCCUCUUAAGCCGUUUGUCGAGAGUUCGAGCCUCUCUGAGCCCA
rnacentral:tRNA from 1 species